rnacentral:lncRNA from 1 species
UUCUGCUUCUUCCACUUGGUCCUGCGGUUCUGGAACCAAAUUUUGACCUGUGUCUCCGUGAGGCUGAGCGACAGAGCCAGGUUCAGGCGCUCGCACACCGACAGGUAGCGCGUGGCUCGGAACUUGUUCUCUAGGGCCACCAGCUGCUCGGCAGCGAGACGCACCGGCGGGAGAGCAGCUCGCGUGAAUUUUUGCGGAUCCAAAAUGUCCAAGACAGAGAAUGAGAUCUUGUGGUGAGCGGGGGCCGCCUUGGCCCCGCCGUCCUGCCAUGCCAACAUGCCCGCCUCCCGCGGGCCCGAGGCCAGCCGCACUGGGGUCGGGGAUGGGUGCUCUCAGCCUUAUCUUCUGCAGUGGUUUGGCCACAGCUCUCCAGCCGCGAACUGGAAUU